ACAUACAGUGCAGACUGCAGAGUGUCAACUUAGUUUGCGGAUACAAUACACUCUUUCCUUUGUGGCGUCUUUGAAUACUUUCUUCGUAGGCACAUUAUGUGCAAGUAGUGACAAGAAUCUGUAUAGUAUACGCUCUUGAUAUAUGGAAAGUAACAUUUGACGGUUAUUCUGGCGUUACCCAUAUAGCUGGUAACGUUUUUAUGUUAUUUGUACUUCUGAGGAAUUCAAUCUAAGACAGUUCAUACUAUAACGUAUGGAUUCUACGGUACGUGGCCCUAGGAAUGGAGAUACUCUUUCAAGAUUAUAGCGGGGAAGGAAGUUUAAAUAAAAGGGAAGAGUGUAGCAUUCAUGCUGGAGGCCAUAGUUCGUGGUUUCCAAAUGAUCAGCUCAAUAAUGGCACAGAUUUAGUACCAAAUGGCAAGCUGAAGUACUUGAUUUGGAUUACUGAAUCGAGGAAAUACCAGUUGUUGCCAAUAAUGGCACAUACUUAUGAA